AGGCUAGUAUUGUUAACAUCAUCUGAUACAAUCAACUGGAACAAAGCUGAAAUGGCUGCCUGACCUGACUUAAAAAUUGGAUGGCAGUACAUCAGACUAGAAGAUUACAAGUAUUAAGGUGGACAAAAUGAAACCUGAGCCUACCAAAGCUGACAGAUUGCACAAGAAACACAUAAAUGCAGAUUGGAAGAUUCAUUCUCUGGAAAGUAGAAAAUGGCAUGUUACAUACUGUUAUCACUGCCAUGACAGAAACCAUAUUGAGGAGCUGGUCCACCUGUAGGAAAAAUUGCGCUAUUGGUUGGAGCAGCACUAUUACCCAGCCAUACACCAGCACUUAGUUUGUCAUAGGGAGCAUUUCUGGGCAGUUAUGGAGACCACUAACUAUGCAGUUGUUGCAGUGAAACUUGCACCAGUGUGUUUUCUGUGGAGAUAAAGAGAUAGUGUCCAGCAAUGAAGACCCAACUCAAGAUCUGACCUUGUAUGGCCAAUAUGAAAUAACUGUGUGGGAAAUGGGAAAAAACUGCAGUCAGGAAUGCACGGAAAUCAUCAAAAGAACAGUGUUAAAUUAAUCUUGAAUAACUUGACAUUUAUUUUGUUUGACAUAUUUAUUCAUGGUGCAGUGAAAACAUUCUUUUUUUCUCAUGGUUAUUUAAAUUUAGAAUUGAUAGGAGGGAACAUCACUAUGUAGUUUCAUGUUCAUAGUCAGAUCAAAACCCAUGUACAUGCCCAAAUGAGCAUUCGAAAAUAUCAAAAUGGUACUUGUUGUAUGUAGUGUAAGUUAAUUAACAUA